CAUGGAUGGAACUUGAGGACAUAACGGUAAGUGAAAUAAACCAGUUACAAAAGGACAGAUACUGUAUGAUGCCACUCAGAUGAGGUGCCUAUAGUAGUCAAAUUGAUGGAGAAAGGAAGAAUGGGGCCGAGCACAGUGACUCACACCUAUAAUCCCAGCACUUUGGGGAGGCCGAGGUGGGCGGAUCACAUGAAGUCAGGAGUUCAAGAUCAGUCUGGCUAACAUGGUGAAACCCCAUCUCUACUAAAAAUACAAAAAUUAGCCGGGCCUGGUGUUGUACGCCUGUAAUCCCAGCUACUCAGGAGGCUGAGACAGGAGAAUUGCUGGAGGUGGAGGUUGCAGUGAGCCAAGAUCACGCCAUUGUACUUCAGCCCAGGUGAUAGUGCAAGACUCCGUCUCAAAUAAAAUAAAAUAAAAUAAAAUAAAAUAAAAUAAAAUAAAAUAAAAUAAGCCAGGCCUGGUGGCAUACCUGUAGUUCCAGCUACUUAGGAGGCUAAGGCAGGAGGAUCACUUGAGGCAACAAAUUUGAGGCUGCAGUGAGCCUUGAUUGUGUCGUUGCUCGCCAGCCUGGGCAACACAGUGAGACCUUGUCUCUAAAAAUAUAAAAAAGGAGCUCACAGUCUAGAGACAACAAAGUAAAAGAAUUGUAACAAAAUGCACUAAGGGCUCUGACAGAAGGAAG
rnacentral:lncRNA from 10 species